rnacentral:lncRNA from 1 species
GGGGAAAGGACUUGCAGGUAUAAAAAGAGUUAAUUGUAGAGAGCAAAAGGAGAUAAUUGCUUGCAGGGGCUGUAUCCACACAGCUGAGUCUUGUCUUCUAUUAGCAAGGAAUGCAGAAGUCACAUAUUUUUUUACAGGCAGAAAGAGUUUGCAAAGACUUGUGAGGGCUUUCUUUUCUGUUGGGUCUAUGGAUGGAAUUCUGUUAUAUGGAGAGAGCAUAGAGAAGGAGUGCAUGUUAAUAUUUGAAAGUGAGAAAGCUUUUAAGGUGAAUAACAAGAAACAGAACAGGCAACCAAAACCUUUGCAUCAGUCCUGAGAAAGCGUGACAAGGGAAAAAGGAGCACAAUUUGAUGGAAGCUGGAGUGCAGACAGUGUCCCCAGAUCUGGAGAAGCCAACAAAGAGGCAGGGUAGAUCCAGCAGGUGUGAGAUAUUUCAUCCGGAAACCAAACGUAAGACAGAGAUUGUUGUUUGCAUUCUGACAAGAAAAACACAAGGGCACCGCAAAACUCAAAGGAGCUUCAAAGAGCACAGGGUCAUCUGGGACAAGAAAUUUCAGCAACAAAUUCAGCAUGACUAGCCAGAUGGCUGAAGAUCAAGUGUGAAGCACGGGAAUGACUGAAAUACUGGCUCACACAGAGAGUUUUAGUGACCAGUCACCACCACACGUUUAAAAGGUUGUCCUACUCCAAGUACUGCCAGCACCAUCAGCAGUGGUGGCAAGAUGGUACUGGUGGAGAAGUGCAGUCAGAGCUCAAACAUUACCUAGAUUUUUCAAACUUAUGCAUCUUUUUUGGCCUGAAAAUUGUCAUUUCAGGUCUGAAAACUGCCAAGAUUUUCACUCGUGAUUGAAAAGUGAAGUUGGCAACUGUUCUCUUUG